GACGAACGCUGGCGGCGUGCCUAACACAUGCAAGUCAACUUGACGGAAGGAGCAAUCUGACCGUAGAGUGGCGCAAGGGUGCGUAACGCGUAAGUAACUUGCCCCAAGGUAAGGAAUAACGUCGAGAAAUCGGCGCUAAUACCUCAUAAUGCAGCGGAUCCGCAUGGAUAUGUUGUUAAAGGUUUACCGCCUUGGGAUAGGCUUGCGUCUGAUUAGCUAGUUGGUGUGGUAACGGCACACCAAGGCUACGAUCAGUAACUGGUCUGAGAGGAUGAUCAGUCACACUGGAACUGAGACACGGUCCAGACUCCUACGGGAGGCAGCAGUGAGGAAUAUUGGGCAAUGCUCGAAAGAGUGACCCAGCAACGCCGCGUGGAGGAUGAAGGUAUUCUAUAUCGUAAACUCCUGUGAGAGCAGACGAAAGACAGAUUAUUAAUCUGGAUGACUGUAUGCUC
rnacentral:rRNA from 1 species